AUGGCUGAUAAGAAGAAGAGGUUGACCGCAAGUGAAGCCCUUGCUCUUCUUUUUGAUUCAUUUACAUCUGGAAAGGAAGUUGAUGUGAACUUAGAGGAGUUGGUGGAUAUAGAUGAGGGAGAAGGAGGAAAUUAUGUUGAUAUGGGGCAACAGACUGAUAAGCAGCCAGAGGAAGGAGAGGAAGAUGAAGGAGAGGAAAAGAAAGGGGAAGGAGAGGAAGAUGAAGGAGAAGAAAAGGAAGGGGAAGGAGAGGAAAAGGAAGGAGAAGGAGAGGAAGAUGAAGGAGAGGAAAAGAAAGGGGAAGGAGACGAAGAUGAAGGGGAGGAAGAGGAAGGAGGGGAGGUGGAAGCAGAGGAAGAGGAAGCCAGUCCAACCCCCAGCUCUUCUGCUGUUCGUCACAAGCGUCCACUGCCCCAUACGUGGAAGAAAAAUGUCAUCAAAGAAAAGCGUCUGAAGGGAGAGAAUUACAAGAAUACAAUGGGACAGGAGAGACCACCAAAGGCCAUGGGCCCACCAUGCACAUCACAGCACUGCUUCAAGUCAACGACAAGAAGUUGUGAGCUACUGACUGAAGUUGAGAGAAGAGGAAUCUUCAACAAUUUCUGGUCCAUGCCUUCCUGGGAGACACGCAAGGUGUAUAUCCAGACUGUUGUUGAAAAUGUGCCCAUAAAACAGAAGAAAGGUGGUGUUGAUUCAAGGAGAACAACAUCUCUGCUAUACCACCUGCAACUCUCAGAUAGAUGCAAAAUACCUGUGUGCAAAAAUCUUUUCUGUUCCACACUUGGUAUUGCCCUGAGAACCAUUGGAUCAUGGUUAACUGCAGGCAUGAAACCCAACACUCAUACCCAGCCCAACCCCAAGAUCAACAAGACUGGUCCUCAUAUGCCAAUAUCAGAUGGAGACCAGGCCUUCCUGAAAGAGUGGCUCUCUGGAAUACCUACAGUCCCAUCCCAUUACUGCCGCCAGGUUCCCUCUUAUCAGAACAAGAAGUUCCUGGAGCCAGGAACAGUUUUGAGAGAGCUUCACAAGGAAUACCAGAAUGCUGCCAAUGAGAAUGGAAAGCGUGCUGUGAGUGAGACAUACUUUCGGAAGGUUUUUGGAGAGCAGGAUUACUCUGUGUUCAUUCCAAAAAAAGACCAAUGUGACAUCUGUGUAAGCGCCAAGGUAGGAAAUACAGAUGAGGAUGCUCUUGCUACACACUUGAGAUUGAAGAGUCAGGCUCAAGCUGAAAAGGCUGCAGACAAAAAUGAAUCCAGUGACACACUUUCAGUGUGGACAAUGGACCUUCAACGCGUUCUUCUUUGCCCCCAGACAAAAGCAAGUACAAUGUACUACAAAACUAAAUUACAGAUGCACAACUUUACCUGCUUCAACAUGAACAACAGAGAUGGGUACUGUUAUGCUUGGGAAGAACAUGAAGGCUCCCUCAGCAGUGAGGUUUUUGCACAUCUGCAGUCCAACCACUUUGAGUCUGUCCUACAGGCCAACAGAAACAUUGAGAAAGUCAUUGUCUGGAGUGAUGGCUGCGGGUAUCAGAACCGGUGUGCUACCAUCAGCAACGCCUACCUUUACCUGGCCAUGAAGCAUGGUGUCAGCAUUGAGCAGAAAUUUCUAGUUGCAGGCCACACACAGAUGGAGUGUGACUCCAUGCACAGUCUAAUUGAACGGCGCAUUGUGCAAGACGUUUACACUCCACGAGAUUACGUUGUCAUCUUUGAGGCUGCACGCAUUAAUCCAUCCCCAUACAGGGUGACUCAACUAUACCACAAUGACUUCAUGAAGUUAUCUGGCACCUAUGUCACCAAUAUUCGACCCGGCAAAAAAGUUGGGGACCCCACAGUCCAUGACCUCCGGGCUUUGCAGUACUUGACUGAUGGACGGAUCAGGUACAAGCUGGAUUUUGAAUCUGACUGGGAAGACCUGCCUCGGCGCAUCAGCAUACCCGACAACAAGCCAUUCAAGUGGAUCCCACUCUUUCCUGCUCAGUUGCCCAUCACCCUGAGGAAAUACAGUGACUUACAGUCAAUGAAAAAUGUACUACCAAGAGUGGCCCACAAGUACUAUGAUGAUCUUCCUCAUCAGUAGUAUACAUAGCCUACCAAAUAGUACACACACACACACGCACGCACACACACACACACACACACACACACACACACACACACACGCACACACACACACCCGCACACGAAGAGAAAGAGAGAGAAGUGAGAGACAAACACACACAGACAGAUACAAACACACAUAGACACACGCACACCUCUUUUAUGAGCCUACAGGCCUCCUCUGCAAAUUAAUGGGUGGGUGAGGUGAAGUGAGUAAGUCUCCUUACUCUAGCUGCCAUUUUGUGAUUAAAAUUGAAAAGUUACAGUGUGUUAUGGUUACAUUAUAGUAUGUCAUGUUCAUUUUAUAGUUUGAAGAAAAACUGCCUAAGUCAUAGGCAUAAUCUGCCUAAGUCACUUUUAUUAGACAAAAGAAAUGAUGUUGGGUUUUGUUCUUUUUCCAUACUUUUCCUCACAUAUACUUAAAUGUUCUGUGAAAAUAUCAAUUAAAAAUAUGCAUGUGAUAUUUAGAAAAUUAGUUUUUUCUUGUUUUCCGAAAACACAAAAAAAUGACUUGGGCAAUUAUGCUAUCAAGCUAACGAUAUAUAUAUAUCAUUAUCAAUCAUUUAAAUUAGUCAAAGACAAAAAAGAAGCCCAAUUGCAACU
rnacentral:lncRNA from 1 species